AAAACGUAACAAGGUCUCCGUUGGUGUACCAGCGGAGGGAUCAUU
rnacentral:rRNA from 1 species